rnacentral:rRNA from 1 species
CCUACGGGUGGCAGCAGUGAGGAAUAUUGGUCAAUGGGCGCGAGCCUGAACCAGCCAAGUAGCGUGAAGGAUGACUGCCCUACGGGUUGUAAACUUCUUUUAUAAUGGAAUAAAGUGCGGUAGGUGUGCCGUUUUGUAUGUACUUUAUGAAUAAGGAUCGGCUAACUCCGUGACAGCAGCCGCGGUAAUACGGAGGAUCCGAGCGUUAUCCGGAUUUAUUGGGUUUAAAGGGAGCGUAGGUGGGUUGUUAAGUCAGUUGUGAAAGUUUGCGGCUCAACCGUAAAAUUGCAAUUGAUACUGGCAGGCUUGAGUACAGUAGAGGUAGGCGGAAUUCGUGGUGUAGCGGUGAAAUGCGUAGAUAUCACGAAGAACUCCGAUUGCGAAGGCAGCUUACUAAGCUGCCACUGACGCUGAUGCUCGAAAGUGUGGGUAUCAAACAGGAUUAGAUACCCGAGUAGUC